AACGCUGGCGGCAGGCCUAACACAUGCAAGUCGAACGCCCCUUCGGGGGAGUGGCAAACGGGUGAGUAACGCGUGGGAACCUUCCCUGUGGUACGGAAUAGCUCCGGGAAACUGGAAUUAAUACCGUAUACGCCCUUCGGGGGAAAGAUUUAUCGCCAUAGGAUGGGCCCGCGUUGGAUUAGCUUGUUGGUGAGGUAACGGCUCACCAAGGCGACGAUCCAUAGCUGGUCUUAGAGGAUGAUCAGCCACACUGGGACUGCGACACGGCCCAGACUCCUACGGGAGGCAGCAGUGGGGAAUAUUGGACAAUGGGCGAAAGCCUGAUCCAGCCAUGCCGCGUGAGUGACGAAGGCCUUAGGGUUGUAAAGCUCUUUUGGCGGGGACGAUAAUGACGGUACCCGCAGAAUAAGCCCCGGCUAACUUCGUGCCAGCAGCCGCGGUAAU
rnacentral:rRNA from 1 species